CUGAGGGCUGCAGCAGACGGAAUGUCACCACAGAUGGAGAAGAGCUCAAUCAAGCACAGGUUUUGGAUACCUUGACCCCGAGAGGAUGUGCAUUUUUAGCAGGUCAGGCGGAGCAGCUGAAGUCUUAUCAGAGGAGUCCCCAGCCCAAGUCCACCUGGCGCCAAUUCUGAGCCUCUCUUCCCAUGAAUGAUGUCUGGAGACCUCUCGGCCUGGAACGUCUCAGUGAGCAGAGCUGGACCACGGCAUGGGAAGCAAGACACAUCCGACAUCCAGCCCAGAGAGAAGGCUGGGAGCGUCGCAGCUCAGCUCUUCCAGCAACACCGAGGAGUCAGAGUCCCUAGAAACUCAUCACCCGCCAGCUCUGUUCACGCACGUGCAAGAGCGAAAGUGUCCACCGAAGGGGACAUGUUUUACAGCAAAAUCUAGAACAGCAGGGAUGUCAGGACUUCAAAGCUUCCAUCUCCUCCUUGCCCCUCUGAUAUGGUGUCUCAGGAUUCUGGUAAGCUCAUCUCCAAAUGCCCUUGGGUUUUAUCAUUGCCCGAGAAGACAUGCCCAAACCGCCACAUCCCAGCUGGAAACAUCUUGUGUAGAAACAUCCAAAGGUGGCUUCAGGUCUGGUGGUAAGGGACCUGCAGUUGCAGCGGGCCGCCUCCCUCCUGCUCCCUGGGUGUGCUGGGCUCUGGGGAACACUGAGUUUCUACGGCCCCUGCAAUCCCGCAGUUUCCUCCCUUGAAUCAAACCUUGAUCUUUGAAGCCCUGAGUUUUGUAGAUUUAAACUGACCUGAAGGGACCAAGAAAGGACUCAGUGAGGCCGGGAGUCUCCCCGGCAGCUCUGAACACAGCAGGGAAGGGUCGGAUUGCUCACCCCUCUGGCUGCCCCUUGGAAGGGACUCCCACACCGCGACGAACUUUGCAAAGACUCCUGAGCAGGACAUUUUGCUUUGAAGGGAGAGGUGACCGCAGAACUACAGGCCAGAGAGGCUGGACACGUACCUGCAGUGGAGUGGACACUCACUAAGAGGGCCCCCUGGAAUGGUCCCCUUGGCUUUGUCAGUUCCAGAGACCCAGAUGGACACCACUUGUGCUAUUGAAAGAUGCCUCUCAUGGCCUAGGACCUGGAGGCCUGGACCUGGAGAAGUGGGCUUCCUCUGAGCAUGUGUCCACACAGGGGAGGGAUCCAGAGGCAAAGAGUGGGUUUCGUGGGUCCCCAGAUAUGACUGGGUUCUUUCCUUGAACUUUGGCCUCGGGGUCUCCUGACUCUCCGGUGUGGGUACCUGUGUGCCCACCUGCAUGGGCACUCCUUGUUCCUUGCCCCCUCUGUGGUCACCCCUGGCCAGGCCCUCUGCCUUGGGCUUGGGCGUGGGAGGCUCACAGGGCCUGGUCACCGGAAGUAGAGACCGAGGGGCUGGUCAGUCUGCAGGGAUGAAAGAUACCCCUCCAGCUCUAGGAGGAGGGGGCGUGGACUUUGCAAUUCGGAAAUCAAGAACGUUCUCUGUGGCCACCCCACC
ensembl:lncRNA